CACAGACUUCUGCCACCCGAGCUCCUGGAGUAACUGACAGCAAUAGGAGACUGUCAUCCUCUAUGUGGACCAACACAAGACCAGGAUAGGACACACUUUUCCAGAAGCCAAGAUGAGGAAGAAAGAGGAAUGACUAAUGGGAGGGCGAAACUGAAGAUAAAGAAGCAAGAAAGAGGGAAAGACAGAACAGAAGGAGAUGAAAAGCAUAAUGCAUAAAGCAUAACACAGACAGUGAGAUUGGGCAGCUCAAGAGUUGCAGUGGAACAAUCUGAUACAAGCAGCAAAGCUUAAAUAAACUAGAAACAUUUCAAAUGAUCCAUAAAGGAUUAAUAAGCACUGCAGGAAGUCCUAUAGGCUCAGCGUAUACAUUUUCCAUCUUUUUCCUCCCAUGAUGGGCAUGACACAAAAUACUAAGCAGAACUCAAGUUUCAAAGUCACCAAAUGUUAAGGUCUGCAAGCUUUGAUAUGAAGGUGGAGUGGGGUCACCAUCUUGGACUUCUUAAUUUAAAUAGAUAACAAAAUAUUGAUUUUAUUAGCAUAAUAAUUCUGCAAAUUAUGGCACUUCACACCAUUCUUUCUACUACAAAUGGACAAAAGCAAAACCAAGGCAAAAGGGGUAGUAGUGAGCUACAGGCCACUAAUAUAACAAGAACAAAAUGACAGCUAUUAUUUUGGCAGAAAUAAUCUAUGCUGAAACACAAAACACACAUGCACACAAUUUCUUUCAAUACAAUUUUCUUGUCUUCCCACUGACUUCUAUGAUUACCACAGAAAGCAGGGUUCUAAACACAUUUCUCAAUUGAAUCUUCAAUCAAUAACCGUAAAAUUUGAGAUGGGAGAUAUGGGAAAAUGCAUUAUAGCAUUAGUAACUGUUUGCAAAAUAGGUUGAACUUAUCAAUAUGCAUAAAAGUUGUAGGGAAGAAAAAUCAGUACUAUAACAGACCACGUAUUUUUAUUUAAUCCAAAUGGCUAGAAAAGCGAAAAUCUCAACAGUGACUAUUUCUAGGCCAAGUCAAAUCAUGCAGUCAAAUUUUCAUUUGUUUUGAGGUGGUAACUAUUAUACAAACAUUGUUUGUAGCAUGACACUCUUAAGACAGUUUAAAA